rnacentral:lncRNA from 1 species
AGCAUCUUCUUCGUCAGAUCCACAACUGUCGCGGAACUUGUCAUCCAGUCGACUCAACGCUCAGGCGCCUGAGUUUGUGCCUACUCGCUCUACGCCUCAGCAGCAGCAGCAGCAGCAACAGCAACAGCAACAGCAGCAGCAGCAGCAGCAGCAGCAGCAAAGUCAUAGGAUGAUGAUCCCUCCUCCUCCGCCCCCUGCGAUGCUGCACGUCUACCCUCCUCCUCCGCCUCCGCCGGCGGCGUUUCACCUCCCCGUCCAUAGCCCAGUGCCUAUGCCGCCUCACAUGGUCCCCGUGCCCCAUCAUAUGCCCAUGCGGAAUCAUCACCACCAUCAUCAUCAUCCUCCGUUUCAGAAUCAUCCUCAUCAUCAUCGAGAGCAAGAAGUUGAGGCUGUUGU